rnacentral:sRNA from 1 species
CGCGCCCCGCCGCUGAGCCGUCGCGGAGCCGCGCAGCCCUCGGAGCACGAAUAUAUACAGCCCUGCUCUGGGACACACCUCCAUUGGAUUUAAAAGACAGUCCUCGUCAGCACUGACUUUCAGCUAUGGAAUCGGAGUGGAAGGUCUCCCUGAGCCUGUGUCCUUUGCUGGCAGUCCCACUGCCCUCAGAGCGGCAUUCUCCCAGCAGGAUGGGCCUCAGUGCUGCCUGCAGAGCCUUCUGGUGAUGCGGAUGUUUCUCUGCUGAUUCUGUAGCAUCAUAACCAAAGAAGAAAA